CCUACGGGUGGCAGCAGUGAGGAAUAUUGGUCAAUGGGCGAGAGCCUGAACCAGCCAAGUCGCGUGAGGGAGUACUGCCCUAUGGGUUGUAAACCUCUUUUGCCGGGGAGCAAAAGCCGGACGUGUCCGGCUGUGAGAGUACCCGAAGAAAAAGCAUCGGCUAACUCGGUGCCAGCAGCCGCGGUAAUACGGAGGAUGCGAGCGUUAUCGGGAUUUAUUGGGGUUAAAGGGUGUGCAGGCGGAUUUUUAAGUCAGCGGUCAAGUCGUGGGGCUCAACCCCGUCCAGCCGUUGAAACUGGGGAUCUAGAGUGUGCGAGAGGUAUGCGGAAUGCGUGGUGUAGCGGUGAAAUGCAUAGAUAUCACGCAGAACCCCGGUGGCGAAGGCAGCAUACCGGUGCACAACUGACGCUCAGGCGCGAAAGCGUGGGUAUCGAACAGGAUUAGAUACCCGUGUAGUC
rnacentral:rRNA from 1 species